rnacentral:miRNA from 1 species
UACAGGCCGUCUGUAAUGACA